AUUGAACGCUGGCGGCAGGCCUAACACAUGCAAGUCGAACGAGUGGCGGACGGGUGAGUAAUGUUUGGGAAUCUAGCUGAUGGAGGGGGAUAACUACGGGAAACUGUAGCUAAUACCGCAUACCAUCGGAUGAGCCCAACUGGGAUUAGGUAGUUGGUGGGGUAAAGGCUCACCAAGCCGACGAUCUCUAGCUGGUCUGAGAGGAUGACCAGCCACACUGGGACUGAGACACGGCCCAGACUCCUACGGGAGGCAGCAGUGGGGAAUAUUGCACAAUGGGGGCAACCUGACGCAGCCAUGCCGCGUGAAUGAAGAAGGCCUUCGGGUUGUAAAGUUCUUUCAGUAGGGAGGCGUUAACUACAGAAGAAGCACCGGCUAACUCCGUGCCAGCAGCCGCGGUAAUUC
rnacentral:rRNA from 1 species